rnacentral:lncRNA from 1 species
UCGCGGGUGCAGAGGAGCGCGUGCGAUAAUCUGCGUGCAUUCGUCGAUAACUGUCUAUGCGAAGCACCGACGCAGCCAUGAGUACCUGCGGGGCUUCACUCUGUGCCACAACGAGCGAACCGCUGUACAGGAGCUCGACUAGCUGUCGCACCGUCUGCACAGGCACCACCGAAGGCACACGGAUCUCAGAGGGGCCGAGCAGCAGCUUGUCUUGGAAGGAGGGCGAGCCGAUUGCCAGCCCGCAGCGGUGCGCACGCAGCGAAGCUUCAUGAAUGCACACAGUCACGUCGCAGAAGUGCCCACCCAGCUUCUGCCCAUUGAGGGUCUCAAGCAGAGAGCGUGAGAAGUUCUGCAGAUGUAUGUGGCGCACAGCCUCUACAGCCGCCGACUCCGACUCCUCUUCAGGCACCAGGCCUGGCCGUGGCCGCCUUCUCACCGACUCCAAGGCAGCACUUCCGGGCGCUUCUCUUUAUUUUUAUACAGUUUUAUUGAGAUAUAAUUUACAUGCUAUCCAGCCCAUCUAUUUCAAGUGUACCAUGCAAGGGGUUUGUAUAUAUUCACAGAGUUGUGUAUCCAUCACCAUCGUUUUAGAACAUUCAUCACUCCAGAAGAAACUACUACCCAUCAGCAGCCACUGCCCAUUUCCCUGAUCUGCCCCGCCCUAGGAAAUCCGUAAUCACUUUCAGUCUAUGGAUUUGCCUAUUCUAGACCAUUCAUAUAAAUGAAGUCACACAACACUGGGUCUUAUGUGACUGGCUUCUAUCAAAGUUUGCAAGGUUCAUUUAUGUUCAUGGUCAUCACUGAUCAGAGGCCUAACCCAAGGAGGGGGUCAUGUGCAGACCCAGCUGUGGGGAGGAAAGAUGCUGCAGAGGAGACGGAUGCCCACAGAGGCCCCUGAGUGGAUACAAUGCUCACUAAGUGGGCUGACCCCACAUUGGACACCGCUGCAUCCAUGUCCAUCACACAACACAGCUGCCGUUUCUUCUGCCUGCUUAUGGGAAAGUCCCCUCUUCUCCUCCGUUUUCUUCUCUUCCUGCCCUAUCACACCGUGCACUUCUCCCUUUCCUUAAAGAACCACCAUCAACUUUAGGAGGAGGGAAAGGGGUGGCUCUGGCAGGAAAAGCCAGAAUCCCCUCUAGCCAGCAGAGAGAGAGAGGAAUGGCUGCAUGUUUUCUCCCCCAGUCCAAGGCACUGGGUCUUGGCUGGGUUGAAGGUUCCAAGCUGCUCUCCUGCUGUGUCGGUGAGUUCUGGUCAACCUGCAACCUCCUGAUAUGGCCAUUGCAGUUCAUCGAGUCUUCAGGGACUCCCCAUGGCCUGGAGUACUUUGCCUUGCUUACACGGGAGAGGAGAAUGGAUUUAUAGAGAACAUCAUCUAAAUCCAACUUGACCAUUGUGUGGCCACACUUGCUAGAUUGCUAUAGUCUAAAUCUAGCAUUGUAGAAAGACGGGGGAGCUUGGAGCUGCACAAACCCAGGUCUGGAACUGGCUCCUUACCUUGGAAGGUGAAUGAUCCUGCCAGGACUCUUAGCCUCCCUGGGUCUCAAUUUCUUUAUCUGUUUCAUGGGAAUGAGGAUCUCUGCUGGGUGGUUGGGUGAUGUGGGGGCUGUGUGAAAACAGCUUGUCAAUACAAGCCAAAAUAGAAAUAUUUCUCCACAGAGUAUGAAGGUCAAAUGAGAGAAUACAUUUAAAUUAAAUGGAAAAUUAAAAUGGUAAAAAAUGCAAAGCUGUAUUGAAAGUUCCGAGCUUCUCUAUAAGGAGCUUUUUGACUAUGUAAGAAUCCUGUACUCGUUCCCCCUAAAUAUAAAAAAAAGUUGAAGGAGGCAGAAGGGAGAGUGAUGCACGAUGGGCAAGGACUUCACCUGCUGUUGCUGGCUUUGAGGAUGGAGGAAGGAGGCCACAAACCUAGAAGCUGGAGCCCCUAGAAGCUAGAAAAGGCAGGGACCCGAUUCUUUCCUUGAGCCUCCAGAAGGGACACAGCCCCGCCAGCACCUUGACUUUAGCCUGGUGAGAUCCUCUUAGGACUUUUGGCAAUCAGAACUAUAAGACAGAAAUGGAAGCCACUGAGUCUGUAGCUGUUUGUUGCAGCAGCAAUAGAAAACUAAUGCAGGGCCCAAGAAAUCACUGGUGAUGAGAUCGGGAAAGUGGGCUCAGGAGGUCUGGAUCUGUGAUGAGAUGGGGAAAGUGGGCUCAAGAGGUCUGGAUCUGUGGUGAGAUGGGGGAAGUGGGCUCAGGAGGUCUGGAUC